rnacentral:rRNA from 1 species
UACGUAGGGUGCAAGCGUUGUCCGGAAUUAUUGGGCGUAAAGAGCUCGUAGGUGGCCUGUCGCGUCGGCUGUGAAAACUCGGGGCUCAACUCCGAGCUUGCAGUCGAUACCGGCAGGCUAGAGUUCGGCAGGGGAGACUGGAAUUCCUGGUGUAGCGGUGAAAUGCGCAGAUAUCAGGAGGAACACCGGUGGCGAAGGCGGGUCUCUGGGCAACAACUGACGCUGAGGAGCGAAAGCGUGGGGAGCGAACAGG